CAGCAGCCACGGUAAUACGUAGGGUGCGGGCGUUAAUCGGAAUUACUGGGCGUAAAGCGUGCGCAGGCGGUUGUGUAAGACAGGUGUGAAAUCCCCGGGCUUAACCUGGGAACUGCGCUUGUGACUGCACAGCUAGAGUAUGGCAGAGGGGGGUGGAAUUCCACGUGUAGCAGUGAAAUGCGUAGAGAUGUGGAGGAACACCGAUGGCGAAGGCAGCCCCCUGGGCCAAUACUGACGCUCAUGCACGAAAGCGUGGGGAGCAAACAGGAUUAGAUACCCGUGUAGUCCCUGUCUCUUAUAC
rnacentral:rRNA from 1 species